rfam:TPA: Bos taurus chromosome 25, whole genome shotgun sequence.
UAGCUCAGUCGGUAAAGAAUCUGCCUGCAAUGCAGGAGACCCAGGUUCAAUUCCUGG